GCCAGCAUAGUGUAGUGGUUUGAAUGUUGGACUGUGACUCUAGAGUCCAGUGUUCAAAUCCUGGCUUCAGACA